CCUACGUGAGGCUGCAGUGAGGAAGAUUGGUCAAUGGACGGAAGUCUGAACCAGCCAUGCCGCGUGCAGGAAGACGGCUCUAUGAGUUGUAAACUGCUGUUGUACAAGGGUAAACCUGAAUACGUGUAGUCAGCUGAAAGUACUGUACGAAUAAGGAUCGGCUAACGCCGUGCCAGCAGCCGCGGGAAUACGGAGGAUCCAAGCGUUAUCCGGAUUUAUUGGGUUUACAGGGGGCGUAGGCGGAUUGAUAAGUUAGAGGGGAAAUGUCCGAGCUGAACUCGGGAUCUGCCUCUAAUACUGUUGAUCUAGAGCGUAGCUGCGGUAGGCGGCAUGUCUGUUGUAGCGGUGCACUGCU
rnacentral:rRNA from 1 species